CUUCCCUUUGAAAUGUGCCCCUACAUAAGCCUCCACCAAGGUUGGCAUCUUCCAGCAUAAUCUCUCAAGUCUCAAGAUUACCGGGUCAGUAAUCUCCGUUAUUGUGUGUACUAAUGAUAUGUGCAAACAUAUCAUUCGGUGAUCAGGGUGAAAUCAGAGUGAAACCAUUAGAAAAGAAGAGAAGAGAAGAAUUAUCAGAUUAGAAGCAAGACGAAAUCAUAUAAUCAUAGAAGGAGAAGCCAUGAUCUAAAAUAUCACCAUUUUCAUAGAUAACCUCUGCGUGUUACACAAUGGCACAUAUAUAGCCAAACCUAUAACUGCCCAUAGAAACUACCCAAACUACCUAUUACAUGUGUACAUAUCAAUUACCUUAACAUCAACGUUAUUUCUCCAUUGUUUCGUACUUUUUGAAAAAUUGAAGGAGUUGAUAUUUAAAAAUGAAGAUGUUUACAAGUGGUAGAGAGAACAUUAAGUUAUCAAUUUGGGAUGUUGGACAGGAUAUGGUAAACAAGUGGUAGAGAGAACAUUAAGCUAUCGGUAAAACAUUUCUCUUGGACACAUACUGAUCGUGAUCGAUGUAUGUAAGGCGUGGACUGGAAUCGUAGUACGGAAAGAUAUAUGGCCUUAGUUUUUGUAAGAUAGAUUGAACGACAUCUUUGUCUUGAUGUAGCAUUUUAAAAUUGAGGGUCACAAGAGUCUGAUUGAAAGGCGUGGUUCUCCCACAACAGGUACAACUUAUCAUCACGUUGUUGAAUUACUGACUGCAAUCCCGAGCUUCAGGUACCAGGUAAUUUUGCAAGUCGGUAUUGUUACAUCCAGCUUUUGUUGGUUUUUGGUGUAUCGAGCUGAUUAUUUUGUGUGUGUUGUCGUGUUAUGUUCGUGCAAGUAGGGAAAUAUUGUGCAAGGCUACCCCUACCAGAAUGCCACUGUGCAAGGUACCCCUACACUAUGAGUAUUGCUUAGACUGUAGUAAGAAAGUUGUAGGCGAUGUCGGAAAUUGAUUAUAUUAGUGACCAUUAGCAACAACAUAGAAUGUGAAUUGGAUGAAAAUAAAUAGAUAGUGGCGUGUGUCGUGUUAAUUAAUGAGACCAAAACUAAAUUUUACAUCGCCUUAAUUUGAAAAAUAAGCUUAUACAAGACCCAUGGAGAUCCAUAGGCACAAUCAUAAUGAAUGAAUAUCGGUAUACAACUGGAGAAAGUUUCAAACACCAACAACUCUAUUUUCUUAUAUGAAAAGGUUACUUGCAUGAUCUACGUAAUCACGACCAACAAUUUCUUUCUUACAUUGAAAAAGGUACAAAUUUCAUCCAUUAGUGUUCCCUAGGCUGUGUUCCUUUAUCACAGAGAAAUUGCAUUAUGUAAUUCACUCAGAGGCUCAGGCAUUAUUAAUUUGUGAAGAUCCAUAGGCACAUUAAAAAUUCACACUCAGAGGCUCAGGCAUUAUUAAUUUUGGAUUAUCUUGAAGUAUUGUUUCCAUUUUAUGCAAGAACGGGUUGGAAUGUUUGAUUUCCGGUUUCAAAUUUGAAUUAGGUGAUGUCAUUUCCAUUCGAAGAUAUAAUCUUUUUAAAUCAUUUUCUGCAUUUAAACUAGGGGUAUAAUUUGAUAUUUAUUGUACUAUAUUCCAGCUUCCUGUGUUUAAUGGUAAGGGACUAAUUCUUCUUAUAUUGAUGUAUGUUUUAAGAAAUUUAUGGUUGUUAAUUGUUGAAAUUCUAAUUGCCCAAACAGAAGAUGCAAAGACAAUGAACUGAGUCAUAUUUCACCCAGCCUAAUAGAUACUGAAGAUUUUAACUUUUUGCAGUGACCACUCGGUUGUUUUCUGUUGGAUAUGGAGUACCUGUCUGUUGAAGUCAUAGUUUGCCUUAAAAAUUGAAACUGACAAUGGUUAAAGUUAAAGCUGCAAUUGAGAUUGAGAUACCACCUAUAUUGCUUUUCAUGUAUACUGAGUCGGCGAGUAAUUCAUCUUCUGAUGAAGUAUGUUCUAAGCAGUUUUUUGUGUUGUUGUUUAUUGUUGCGCAGGUAGGGAUAUGCUUUGAAAUAGAGUAUUUCCUUCUUAUUUCUGAUAUUGAAAUGGUCACAAAUUUUUUGCACCUGUCGACGAUGCCACUGAAGGCAUUUCUAGCUAGCAAGUCUAUUCGACUCAUGAUAGAAUGAAUCACCUGCCGCGAUGCCAGUGAAGCAUUUUAAUUCAGUUGGACACUUUCAUUUUUGUGAUCAGCUUGCCGUUAGACUGCCUCUCAAUUCAUGUAUAACAAAACUUUUUAAGCGUUUGAGGGCAGAAUUAUCUCUCUUUCUGAAUAUUUGUUUUUUAUUUUGAUUUUUGAACGAAAAUGAGUUAGAAUAUUUUUAAUCUUUCAUAAAAACGAAAAGAUUUGAUCAACCAAAACCGCCUUUGUAAACUUUCGCUGUUAUCAAAAGUUUGUUUAUGGGUA